rnacentral:lncRNA from 1 species
AGGAUGUGAAUGCUCUAAAACACCCUCCAUCUUCUCCAAAUUAAAUCACAAACACACCACACAGAUAUUACUCUCCUCUCUCCCUUUGUCUGCAUAUCAAUUUACACACACACAAAACACAACACUGAGAUUUUUUUUACUCUCAUCUUCCCCAUAAUCUAUACUAUAACAAAUACCCACACAAAAUCAAACACCCACCACCGCUUCCCUCGGUUCCCUCUUUCCAGGCGACACCCACCUUCUCCUCUUGACAACAAAACGGACCACCACCACCGUCCGGUGGUGGUGAGCGACAGCUGCAGAAACGGAGCGGGAGAGAGAGAGGCAAUGAAAGAGACAGAGGCGAGAGAGACGACGAGAUGGAUAGAUCGAGAGGAGAAAGAGAGUGACGGCGGAGAAGAAGCGGCGCCGCCGCUCAUGGCGGCGGCGGCAGUGGCGGUGGUUCGGGUCUCGGUCUGACGAAUUUCCGGCCAAAUUUGGGAAGACUUGCGAGUCUCGGCUCACCCACAGGUUGGUUCGGAUCGGACCUGGUCAAGUCUUGGAUGGUCAACAACAGUCAAAGUUUGGUCAACCGCUCGGGUCAACAGUGGGCAAGUUUGUUUUGGGUCAAGCAUGGAUCGGACGAGUCAGAUUCGCUCGUUUAACUCAGCGAGUCGACUCGGUCAAACCCGAGUCAACUCGGUCAGCACAGUCAAACCGAGUCAACUCAGUUGACCCGGUCAACUCAGUUGACCCGGUCAACUCAGUCCGCGGUUCGACGCGAGAGAUUUGGAAUAUUGUAGAAUGCACGCUAGCGAGUCUCGUCUUGGAAACGACAUCACGAAGUCGUAUAUAGCUUGCUUUGCACAUGAAUAUUCAGGAAUAUUGUAGAAUGUACGCUAGCGAGUCUCGUCUUGGAAACGACAUCAGGAAGUCGUAUAUAGCUAGCUUUGCACAGGAAUAUUCAGGAUUUAAUGAGCUCAAAUAAACAAAAGAAGCAAAAAGGCAGCUAAAUCUAACAUAAAUACAAGAAAAGGAGCAAAACGUGGCAAAACAAGAAGACAGAAGACUGAACACGCCCCGUGCUCAGUGAGCACGGGGGUGUGCCCAAGUGUCAGCAGAAAAGACAGUUGUAGAAGCUUCCAUCGCCCACCACGGGGCCGUGCUUAGCGGACACGAGCCGUGGUCAACUAUAAGAUUCGCGGAAUCCAGGCAAAUCUUGAUAGUACAGAUAUGCUUCUGCACACGGGGUCGUGCUCAGCGGACACGGGGGCGUGGUCAACUAAUGCAGACAAACUGCAUUUAAUGAAGAAAGAGAGGAGGAUGGACACGGGGCUGUGCCCAAUGGACACGGGGCCGUGCCCGAGCUUCUGUUCAGCCUAUAAAUAGGAGUGCUUGGAGCUCUUGCAACUCAUCCCUUGGCACACCACCUCUCUCACACUUCACCCACCACCAUCACAACACCAUCAUCCAUUGUCCAUCAUAGAGUGUGUGAGUCGUCUCGGGAUCCAAGAUUGAUCGUAAGAGUUCUUGACAAUCAAAGGCCAUGUUUGCCUAAGUCUCUUACAUCACUUGGUGAAGACAAGUGUUUAGUGUAAUACUUUUUAUUUUUAAUCUUUUGCACUUUUUAAUUGGUUUUGUAUUAAUGACUUUAAUUACUUGUUUCUUAUGUUGAAUGUGAUUCU